GCCAGGCAUGGUGGUGCAUACUUGUAGUCCCAGCUACUGAGGAGGCUGAGGUGGGAGAAUUGCUUGAGCCCAGGAGCUCAAGGCUGCAGUGAGCUGUGAUCUCCACUGCACUCUAGCCUGGGCAACAGAGCAAGACCCUGUCUCAA
rfam:Homo sapiens chromosome 7, GRCh38 reference primary assembly.